rnacentral:rRNA from 3 species
UACGUAGGUGGCAAGCGUUAUCCGGAAUUACUGGGUGUAAAGGGAGCGCAGGCGGGAUAGCAAGUCAGCUGUGAAAACUAUGGGCUCAACCCAUAAACUGCAGUUGAAACUGUUAUUCUUGAGUGGAGUAGAGGCAAGCGGAAUUCCGAGUGUAGCGGUGAAAUGCGUAGAUAUUCGGAGGAACACCAGUGGCGAAGGCGGCUUGCUGGGCUCUAACUGACGCUGAGGCUCGAAAGUGUGGGGAGCAAACAGG